UGCAGAUAAGGAAAAAGACUUACCAGGUAGAAGGAAUCCUUUGCUGGGAUUGGCAUUCAGCCACUGCUUACAGUAGGAAUUUUCAUCAGGAUCCGGUCACACCAGGCAGGAGCUCGGCACUUUUCACUGCAAUGAAAAGAAAUGCACUGAAUUCUGUUUCAGGGACAGAGCCCUGAGAGCUUAUCCCAUGGUCUAAUCUACUUCCUGAAUAAAGAAGAGCCCAGCUUAUUAAUGCAGUCUUGUAGAUCAUCUCUUGAGUGAUGCCUUAAUAACAAUUCAGAAGUAAUAA